rnacentral:rRNA from 1 species
AGCAGCCGCGGUAAUUCCAGCUCCAAUAGCGUAUAUUAAAGUUGUUGCAGUUAAAAAGCUCGUAGUUGAAUUUCGGGAUCAAGAAAUCGGUCAUGCCUCGGUAUGUACUGGUUUUAUUGGUUCUCACCUUCUAAAGAACCAUAAUGCCAUUAAUUUGGUGUUACGGGGAAUUAGGACUGUUACCUUGAAAAAAUUAGAGUGUUUAAAGCAGGCUCACGCUUGAAUACAUUAGCAUGGAAUAAUGAAAUAGGACAUCCGAUUCUAUUUUGUUGGUUUCUAGGAUCGACGUAAUGAUUAAUAGGGAUAGUUGGGGGCAUUAGUAUUCAAUUGUCAGAGGUGAAAUUCCUGGAUUUAUUGAAGACUAACUACUGCGAAAGCAUUUGCCAAGGAUGUUUUCAUUAAUCAAGAACGAAAGUUAGGGGAUCGAAGACGACCAGAUACCGUCGUAGUCUUAACCAUAAACUAUGCCGACUAGGGAUCGGAUGAUGUUAAUUUUUUAAUGACUCA